rnacentral:rRNA from 1 species
GGCACCUUCGGUGUCCGAGUUGUAAUUUGAAGAAGGUAACUUUUCGGAGUUGGCUCUUGUCUAUGUUCCUUGGAACAGGACGUCACAGAGGGUGAGAAUCCCGUGCGAUGAGAUGUCCAACUCUAUGUAAAGUGCUUUCGAAGAGUCGAGUUGUUUGGGAAUGCAGCUCUAAGUGGGUGGUAAAUUCCAUCUAAAGCUAAAUAUUGGCGAGAGACCGAUAGCGAACAAGUACAGUGAUGGAAAGAUGAAAAGAACUUUGAAAAGAGAGUGAAAAAGUACGUGAAAUUGUUGAAAGGGAAGGGUUUGAGAUCAGACUUGGUAUUUUGUAUGUCUUGCUUUCGGGUGGGGCCUCUGCAGUUUACUGGGCCAGCAUCGGUUUGGACGGUAGGAUAAUGACAUUGGAAUGUGGCACUACUUCGGUGGUGUGUUAUAGACUUUGUUGAUACUGCCUGUCUAGACCGAGGACUGCGU